GUAAAUUCCAAUAGCUCCAACUAAAUUACUUUAUCCGCAUGUUUCCAUCUGUUAAGUCCAGUUGUGAAAGGGUGACUGGAAAGUAAAAACACAGUUGGUCUAAGUAACACAGUUGGUCUAAGUACACUAAACUGUGAUUUGAGUGCAGGAAAGCGAAUGAGUUUUGUGAGACACAUAAAACCUGACAAUGCCAUUGUAGAAUUGGGCCAAUGGAAGCAUGAAAAGUUUCUUAUAUCAUGUCGUUGGCUCCUUGGAAGCCUGUAUCCCAAGAAGCUUGUAGUCAGCACCAAAUGAAUCCACUGCUGAUAAAAGGGACUGGAUAGCCAAAUCAUUUGGACAUUCUGUCUCCCUAGAAAAAUAACAAAAGAUUGAAGUUAUUUAAAUAUGUCUAAGCCACCAAAUGUACAACUUAGUAAAUAUACAUAACCAUAAAUUGAUAUGUUGCAACAAUGCUUUUUGGAGCUAUAAAACUCCCUGGAACAAAAGCAGAGUGAAAUAAAAGUAGCUUUCACUUUGCGGAAAAAUGUUACUCCUUGUCAGUCGAUGCAGAUGGAAAGAAAUAAUCAUCAGUGGCUCCUAAAUCAAGUGAUCUGAAGCAUCUAAUUAGAUCAGUUCAUGUGCUAUGACAACAAAACUAACUGCCUCAUAAAGGCAACAUGAUUGAACAGGCCGCUGCUUCAAAUAUUGUACUACAACUGCACAUACACCAUUGAACAAAUUUGAAGAAAUAAAUCUGCGACUCUAGGAAACUAAACAUUAAAGUUGAAGCACAAAUAGGAACGGCAAAGUACCCAUAGCCAUCCAUACUUGAUGGCUGGACUUUUGCACAACAAGACACCGGCGAGCACGCGUCCGCACCACCUGCGUCGGGGCCACUGCACCGGUAGGUGACCUAGGGUUUCCCCCUGCCACCGCCGCCCUCAUGGGGCGGCAGGGCCCGAACGAUCCUAAACGGCCAAUGACGCGGAGGGCGAACCCUAGGUCAGCAACGAUGCUGCGGUUCGCCGCCUCAGAGGAGCGGACCGGUGCGUCGUCAUGUGAGGAGACAGGGAGAGAACGAGGAAGCUGAGAGUAGAGAAAGGGAAAGAGGAUUCGAGAGGAUUCAGGAGGGGGCACCGAUGGGAUGAAGCCGGUGAGCUUCACCGCCACCGCCGGCGGUGAGGAAUAGGUACCUAGGGUUUCGUCGAGCGCCCGUGGAGGGCGCCAACACCCCGCCAUCGCGUGAAGAGGAGGCCACGGUCCUUGCCCACCCAGCACGCCGCAACGCUGGAGGAGAGGGACAGAGAGAGGGGAAGCCCGUCCGCGGGUGGCGCCGUCGCCUGUCGCUGUCGCGUCGGGAGGAGAGACGGGGAGGAGAGACCGAGGGGAUUUUUUUUACGGGCCAGCACAUGCCGACAAAAUUGGACAGGAGCUCAAACGAAAUCUGGCCAUUGAAGGCGAAAUCAAACGGCCCAAAAUAAUUCUGCUGACUUGGCCACUGUGAGCUUCCGGGGAGCUCCCGCCAUUUGUAGAGGUAAAUUACGGCGAGAUAUUUGUACAUGGUGGGCAGCUCGGUAUACAUGAGAGACAACAACAUGUAUAUUGAUAGAGUGCCAUAGAUGAGUAGCCAUGAAGGUGAGAUAUUUGUCCCUGGUUGGCGGGUCGGUGUAUACGAGAGACAACAACAUGUAUGUUUUAUGAUUGAAUAAAAAAUAGUGGAGUGUGUUGUUUGGAGUCUUUGGACCCAACAAUACUAGAUUUAAAAAAGUUUCAAAAUUAAAAAUUUAAAACUCAAUUUAGGCCCCGUUUGGUUGCGUCUGUUAAAAUUUACCGUAUGUCAUAUCGAAUGUUUGGACAUAUGCAUGGAAUACUAAAUAUAGACUAUUUACGAAACUAAAAACACAGAUAGAGAGUAAUUUGCAAUACGAAUCUUUUAAGUACAAUUAAUUCAUGAUUAGACACUAAUUGUCAACAAAUAAAACAAAAAUGCUAUAAUACCUGUUAAACUUUAACAAUUCUAACUAAACACCCCUCAGAUAAUGUACAGAUGCUCCUAAUGAUGUACCCCAGCUUCCCGUAACAAACUCCAAGUUGGUGCAUUGCGACUUGCGGAGACACGAGCACGGUCGCCUGCAUGCAUGUUAUCCGGCGGUGCCUGCAUUAGCUUUCAAACAUCCCGUGGUGCGCAAAGUGAACAUGCAGGUUUUAUUACUCACCAGAUGACACGUUCCUGGGUUCCUUGUAAGUAUAGCACUGACCAGUGAUCAGCGAAAAUCCGCAAAUUGAAAGGAAAAAAAGACACGGCCCCGCCUCGUUAAUUAGUCACUUUCUGGCGCCAUUUCUGCUGGGCUUUGGCCACGCAACCCGGAAACAAAGCAAAGCUGCACGGUACGACGAGCACCUCCUGCCCCACGCGCUAAUCAAAUCAACCACUGCCGCGCAGCACGGCAAAGCCCCGCGGGCUGCCACUCUUUGGCGCUGGCUCUUGCUGAAAAAAAUUUACAAAAAUUUUUGGAUUACUUGUCAUAUCAAAUUUUGUAGUACAUAUAUUGAACAUUAAAUAUAGAUUUAAAAUAAAUUAAUUAUACAGUUUAUUUAUAAUUUAAGAGACGAUUUUUUAAAUCUAGUUAGUCUAUAAUUUAAUAUUUAUUAAAUACAAACAAAAGUGUUAAGGUGUUUAUUCUGUAAACAAGACCCCUAGUAAUUAGCAGCCGCCACCCGUGGCAAUGCCAUGAUUACGUCUUGGAUGGGAGGGAGAACAGAACAGGCCAUGUUUCCCUCCGACACGGGCAUAGUACGGCAUACCGGGAGAAUUAGGUGACUCACAAUGGCAGACUCUAUCAUAGAGUCUAAAGUUAUUUAUUACCUCAAAUAAUGUGGACUUAGAGUCUAAAUAAGACUUGGACUCUUAUUUUUUCUACCUCUUUUCUUUAAUAAAUAUGCUGACACAUCAGUAAAAUGUUAUAAAUAAUAUGUAAUUAAUUAUCUUAGACUCUAUAAAUUAAUUAUAGAGUCUUGCCCUUACGCAACGACGACGGCCGUCGUCCAAAGGACCACUGCCCGAGAAGCGAGAAGGAAGAACGUGCUCGCGGCCCGUGGAUUCCUGCGGCUUCACGGCCGCCCGCCGCUGCGCGCUUCACGGUCAAAAAAGGAAACGCCCCCAGACCGUGGCCACAUCAGGGAAACACGGACCCACGUGGCGACCGCGCGUCGGAAUGUCGGUCACCGCGGUAAUUGAAACCGGGCAAAACAAGCUCCAGCUACGUCUGUGUGGAGUAGGUCUUCUCCUUCUCCCGGCACGGCCGGCAUGGCAACGGCAGGUCUGGCCACGGCCACCCCCGGCCCGGUUGGGCAAUGGGCAAACGCGGCAGCUGCUGGCUGGCCUUGCCCGGCGGGCGAGGGGCAGGGCCGGACAGGGGUCAAACGCCCACCGCCCAGCGCUCGUGCCCGCGGUCGCCUGCCUGGCUUGUGGCUUGCGCGCGGCACUGUGCGGCAUAGUACAAAAGAGAGACACCCUAUAUCUGAUGCAACGCGCUUCAUUAUCAGAGCUAAACUAAGGUCUUAUUUAGUUUCGAAAUUAUUUUGGUUUUGGAUACCGUAGUAUUUUCGUUUCUAUUUGGCAAAUAUUGUCCAAUAAUAAACUAACUAGUGUCAAAAACAUUCAUCUUGCGAUUUACAGGUAAUAAAAUGUACUAUUAGUUUUUAUUUCUAUUUAUAUUUAAUGUUUUAUGCAUGUGCAGUAAUAUUUAAUGUGACGAAUUUUUUUUUAAAAAAAUAGUUUUUAGGUGAACUAAAAAAGGCCUAACAGUAUCAUUCGAAACUGAAUGAAAAAAACUACGUACAAAUCAGAUGGAACGGGCCCGGAGAAGGCCACGUUUGCGCACAUGCGCCCUGACCCACAUGUGGCAAUCCAUGUGUACUUCCACAUCGCCACCCCAAGCGAGGGUGAUGGCGCUCGUUCGGCCGUCCAUCCAUCACCAUUCAACCCCCACGCACUGGCACUGUGUACACGACACGGGCUGGAUAAGUAUGCCUCGCUAGCGACCAAACGAAUUAUCCAGUUUUCUUAUUGCGGUCGUGAACGUGAAUUGACGCUACCGUAAAGAAAACUUGAAUUUACGAUUCUAUCCGUUCCUCGAAGCUAGUAGUAAUAAUCCUGACUAGCUAGUAUUACCUAUAUUAGCUAGCUACCUCCGAAACAUCUCUACGGAGCUAUUUAUAUACAUGUUCGUUUGUCUCGUACUUUUUUUACCGGUCAACACAAUAUAUUUCUCUCAUAAUAAAUCAACGAAUAAUAUUUUUGUCAUAGCUUUUCGGACCAACGAACGAGAUACUCUCACUCCAUUUCAAAUUAUAAGCCACUUGAUUUUUUUUUAUAUAUCUAUCUUACUAUACACAUCAUCUAGAUGAAUAUGUUCAGAUAUAUAGCAAAAUAGUUAGAUAAAAAAGUCAAAGCAACUUAUAAUGAAAAGAAUACUCUUUUAUUACCAAAUUUAGAAAACAAAACAAAAAGUAAGCUUUUGUGGACUCUCUAAAUCAUUAUUCCUCUUUUCAGUUAUUCAAAGCCACCCUUCAAUAUACGGUAGUUAUAUCUCAAAAAUUUAUCCGCACAAAAAGAUUUACAAUAAAUAAUUGAAACAGAAUGAAACUUAGACAAUCCGACAUGACAAAAAUAUAAAAGAGAUUCAUGGGAUGACUCUCCAAAUGAAGAUACAAAGAUUGUCCUGGUUUAGAGAGAUUCUUAGAGUUGUUCUUUUGCUCAAUGCUAUUUUUAGAUCCACCAACUAAACAUGCUGGUUUUUGUUUACUAUGCACUUCCUUUUCUAUUUGCUAUUGGUAGAGCACAUGCAAAGAGAGAGGUGAGAGCGUAAUAAUAUUAUUUUGCAACAUAUUAGAGCAAGUAUAUCGAUGCGUUGUAGGUGGAUUGUAUGUUGAGGUCGAGAAGAGAUAGAAGGAGAAAGAAGAGGCUGUAAAUUUACAACUAGUUUAUGUAUAAGAACUAAGAAGUUUUAUGAGAGAAAUAAGUGGGAGUGAGCUAACUAUACACCAGUGAGUUGAUAGAUUGACUGUAAAUUUAUAUAUAGCCAACAACAAGUUGUAUUAUUAAUUGUACUCUUAGCUAAUGAGAUAAUUUUUAGUUGGAUGCAUAGCUAACAAUAUUCUAGCUGACUUAUUAGGUGGUUAACAAUAUUCUAGCUGACUUAUUAGGUGGUUAAUAUAGAUCUACUCUAGACGAUGUUAACAGCCAAGGACUUGUUUGGAUACGGAGACCCAAAAUUUUGUCCUAUGCCAUCGAACAGGUGAAACACUCUCUCACAAAAUGAAAUAACCCUCGUGAUUUCGGGCAGCGUUGUUUCUCUUUCGUCAUCGCCAUGCCAUGUUCAUGAACAUAUAGCUGUAUUAAUAGCAUCUACUGGUACGUGCACAUGGGAUAAACAAGUUGUUAGCGGAUGAUGGUGAUACAUAUAUGGGCCCAGCAGCUAAUUAAGCCUUACAAUGACACUUUUUCCUUUUGCGAUUUUUUCAUUUUCGUUCACCCAAGAAUCACGCGUAUAUAUAUCGUGGUGUGUCGACGAAAGCUGGUCGGCAGUCUACCUUGGGGUAUACCCACGGUAGUAGUUUAUCGGUAGACGGUGCGCAAACUACGAACUCGAUGGUGACGCAAAACACGGACAAGCUUUUUAUCCAGGUUCGGCCGCCGAGUUGGCGUAAUACCUACGUCCUGCGUCUGGUUGUAUUGGAUUGUGUUGAGAGAUAAUCUGUGUGACUUGUCCUCUAGGGGACCCCUGCCCCUCCUUAUAUAUCCUGAAGGGACAGAGUUACAAGCAAAGUAUCCUAUUUGGUACAAAAUCUUGUAGCCUUGCGGUGCACGCCGACCAGUCGUGCGCCGCACGUCUUCAUCUUGUGGGCCGAGCCACCUCUGAUGGUGCGGCCCAUAUAGGCCCAUGAGGGUAUAGGGGUUUAUACCCCCACAGCUAGUCCCCGAGCACCAUGUAUUGUGAUGUAACACGCCGUCUUGAGCUUCUUCGAUCAGCGAGGCUUGACGUCUUCAAUAAACAGGAAAGUCGCCCAAACAGUUGCAACGGUAUUUUGACCAACUCAAAAGACAGUUGAUCAACAUUGACACCGAAGAAGCAGGUUGUUCGAAGAAUGCAUGGUGCUCUUAAUUAAAAAAGAUUUCUUUCCUAGUGAAGUGUGCCCACUUUACUUUUCUGAAAAGUAUAGUCUUUCAAAAAGCAAGCAUAUUCACCGCAAGGUGAAGUGUGCCCACUUAGUCCCCGAGCCUGGUAGUAGGUGACGUAGGCACGUGGUGCCAGGGUCAAAAGAAAAGUCCUCAAAGAAAUUCUGAAACUGAGAUGCAUCGCCAGAUGCAUCGUACCGAUGUAGUCCCCGAGCUUGCUGGAAGGCGAAGUAUGAGCCUUGUAGCAAGGUCUAAAAAAUUGAAUUUACCAGUCCCCGAGCAUAUCAUGCUCGUAUGCAAUUGAAUAGACUAAUCGACCAGUCCCCGAGCAUAGAACGCUCGGUGGUCGGUACAGUCCCCGAAUUCUCAAAUUGGUGGGCUGGUCGACCAGUCCCCGAGCGUAUAGUGCUCGGUGGUCGGUGCAGUCCCCAAGCUCUUAAAUUGGUGAGCUGGUCGACCAGUCCCCGAGCGUAUAGUGCUCGGUGGUCGGCACAGUCCCCGAGCACGGCGUAGGGACCGGUGGACAAGUCUCCGAGCGUGGUUGGGAACGUAAACGUGCUCGGUGGUCGGCACAGUCUUCGAGCAUAGCAUAGAGAGUAGUCGACAAGUCCCCGAGCGUGGUUGGGAACGUAAACGUGCUCGGUGGUCGGAGCAGUCCCCGGGCACAGCGUAGGGAAUAGUCGACGAGUCCCCGAGCGUAGCUUGUCGACUGGGCCAAACCCCUGAAAAAUAAAUAUAAAGAAUAGUUAGUACAUGAUGUAUAAAUAAACUCUAGAUAAAAAAUCAACACUGAGAUAAGUUUUAGAUUUUUUAUUAUAAAAUUAGCACGAGUAGUUAAUUCAUCCUAGAGCUUGUACCAGCUCUGGUCUAGCCAACAAUCAGCAUGAGGUGCGGAACCUAGGCACGCGUAGGAUUGUCAGCCACGUCAGAGAGCUACUGCCGACCACCCGGAACGCAGAGGGCGGAUCUCGUGCACGUGUAGGGAGGAGUCGGAGACAGUACCGGCUCUGGAAAGCUCGUGUAGGAGAAAAAACUAGUCGGCUAAAAAAGUUGUUUUGAAGAAUAAUAAUAUUAAAAAUAUUAUGCCAAAAAUAAAUAAAAUAUUAGAAUUGUACUUAUCUUUGGACGAAAGUCUGGUCGGGAGAGUUGCUUGACUUGUUCUCGUGAUGGUGGUCGCGGCUAUCGUAGCGCCGUUCUUCGCGGCGAUUAUUAUUGCGACUCGUGGUCAGAGCAAGUAGGCCAAACAACUUGGUCGAUAGCCUGAGCAGGUCGGUGUCGUCGAUCUGCCUCCCUUUGUAGCAAAGAAGCGGGUGACGCGUUGUCGGCGUGGUCGGAGACGUUGCUGGAGUAGUUGGAGUCGUAGCCAGCGUGGUUGAAGCCGCCGCCGACGUCGAUGAAGAAGUGGUUGGUGCAGAUCGGAUCUACACCUCCUCCGUGGUCGUGGCGGUGAAGCUGUUGAAGCUGACGGUGAACGUGAAGUCGCCCGCCAUGGCCGCGAAGUCGUGGAUGAUGGCCAUCUUGUUCGUCGGGAGAGCUGUACGCACACCCCCUACCUGGCGCGCCACUGUCGACGAAAGCUGGUCGGCAGUCUACCUUGGGGUAUACCCACGGUAGUAGUUUAUCGGUAGACGGUGCGCAAACUACGAACUCGAUGGUGACGCAAAACACGGACAAGCUUUUUAUCCAGGUUCGGCCGCCGAGUUGGCGUAAUACCUACGUCUGGUUGUAUUGGAUUGUGUUGAGAGAUAAUCUGUGUGACUUGUCCUCUAGGGGACCCCUGCCCCUCCUUAUAUAUCCUGAAGGGACAGAGUUACAAGCAAAGUAUCCUAUUUGGUACAAAAUCUUUUAGCCUUGCGGUGCACGCCGACCAGUCGUGCGCCGCACGUCUUCAUCUUGUGGGCCGAGCCACCUCUGAUGGUGCGGCCCAUAUAGGCCCAUGAGGGUAUAGGGGUUUAUACCCCCACAUGGUGCAGUGCUGCAGUGCUGCACGCGCCGCUUGCAUUGUCCCGUGUGCUCGCCAGCGGGGGAUGCUCUCCUUCCAUGCUCCCGGCCGGUCGGUCACAUGCAUGUACGCCGUUGUCCACUUCUACUGUCUCGUCGGGGAGUAGAAGGUAUAGGGAUAGGGUGUAGUGCAACCGAAAGAAGCAUUGCCAUACCUCUUGCAGAUGUAUGAAUGAAUACAUCUCACAUUCACCCAGCUUUCGGCCUGUCACUACGGAAAAAAAAUAAAGACGCCUAUCUCACCGAAAAAGACGUGCUACGCUAUGUCAAACCUUUUUUUUUCUUUUUGGCAAAGAUCAAAAUUCGUGAAAUUGUGGUUUAUGUUUCGAUGAAUACUACUUGCUCCAUCUCAUCAAAUUAUAAGACAUUUGACUAUUUUUACUCUAAGUUUAACCACUCGUUUUAUUCAAAAUUUUUAUAUAAGCAUAGUCAAAUUUAAGUUAUUUUUGAAGAAUUUUUGUUAAUAAACUAAGACACAACAAAAGAAGUAAUAUUUUAAAUAAAUUCUUGAAUACGAUGUGUGAUCAAACUUGAUGCUAUUCUAGUUUGUGGAUAAAAAUGGCGCUCUCUGCUUUUAUCAUAUUAACUUUAAAUAUGUUUCUUUUUCCUUUUUUUUUGAAUCUAAUAUGUUUUUUUUUUCUCAAAUGCAUUUUCAGGAUCUUCGUUUCCUUUGAUUUUUAUUAUAGCUGUCACAUACCCGCAUAUAUGAAACAAACGAAACAAUUAACGGGCUAGUCAAAAAUGGCCCGAAAGGUUCAUGCGUGCACAUUUCGUUCGGCACACACACCGUUGCGAGUGCCCACCGUGUUGUGCAGCUGUGCUUUGUGCCUGGUAGUGACAAAACGAUGGCGCUGCUGUUCCAGCCAACAAAAACCAUAAACAAAGCUUGCAAGUUGGGUCAAGGCACGCGCACAGCUAGCUAGCGAGACCACCCGCCACAUCACUGUCCAGGCUUGGCUGGCUAUGCGAGUGAGCGAGCCGUGACUCGUGAGCCAUUCGCGUUCGCUGCUUUGACAUCACUUUGCUUUCUCGCAAAGCUGCCGCCGGGGACGCGCAGACGACACCCGCCCGAUGGAGCCAGCCCUGGGUGGCUAUAAAACGCAUCGCCCCCCGGCCGCCCCUUAAUGACACACUGUCAUCACCAAACCAAAGCAAACGCCGGUGGAGUCGAGUCGAGUCGAGUCGAGUCGAGCGAGAGGCCCCGUCCCGUUCCCCCCCCUUCUCUUCCUCUUCCAACUCCAUUCAAGAUCACUGUUGCGCUGCACAAUCUGACUGACCACCAGGGGCAGCCACUCAUUCAUUCAUCCAUUCAUCUGUCUGUUAAGAAGAGAGCGAGAGAGCGAGAGGGGAGGAGGCCGGUGGUGGAGAUGAGGAGGCAAACAGCGGCUUCCGGGGGACGGUGGCGAGGAGGCGACGGCAGCGUUGCUGCGGCGUGGUGGGUGGGCGUGGUGGUCCUGGGUGGCCAUUUACUGAGCUGCGCGCAGGCGGGGCUGCUGGAGUCCAACCCGGGGCUGGCCUACAACUUCUACCAGAAGAGCUGCCCCAGCGUGGACUCCAUCGUCCGCAGCGUCACCUGGGCGCAGGUCGCCGCCAACCCCGCCCUCCCGGCUCGCCUCCUCCGCCUCCACUUCCAUGACUGCUUCGUCAAGGUCCGUCCGUCCGUCCCGUCCCUCCUGCUCUUGCCCUCUCUCUCACUCUCUCAAUCAUAUCAUUCAUUCAUUUGUUCAUUCACUCACUCACUCAUGACUCGUCUAGUCCAUCACCUCGCCUCCUCGAUCAAUCAUGCGCGUCCUCAGGCCGGCGUCGGUGCGAUAGGUUAGAGGAUAGGAUAGGAUGCAUAAAUCAUUUCGCCUGUGCAUUUACUCUUGUCGGCAGCAGUCGGCACGGCGCGCGUCCGGCUUCGCCUCCAGCAGAUCGAAAACGCCUCGGCUUCUUCUUCUUCUUCUUCUUCCUCCUCCAGUCCAGUCCAAUAAUCCCGCAUCUCUAACCGCAUUGACCGACCCGCAGCACCAGGCGAGAUUCAGGCGCCGACCACGGCCAGCCGAACACAGCACAACCCUUCAACAACAUUUUUGCAUACAAGUACAUGCAUCUCCGCAUAUGGAGUGUGGCCGGUGCCGUUCGUACAGUAGCACUAGCAUAUCCGGAUCCUGCACUGCACGGCAGCGGUUUUUUUUUUUUUUUUACCGCGGAUGGGUUGGUACGCAAUGCAGUGCACUGCCCCCUUUCCAUCCCAGUUGCCAGUAGUUUUCCAAUCCUUUUGGUGGCUCUCACUCAGCGCCAGCGGAGUGGGCACCCAGCGCACUUUUGUCGGUUUUUCACCGAGGACAAGCAAGAGCGCUACAGAACACCCUCUCGCCCUCUCCUCGUGUUCUGUUCUGACGCCGUAUGCGUAAGCAUUACGGCACACCCUGUUUCCGUUCCCGACUUCUUCACUCGCCGGCCGGGUUGGCACGCACACACACAGGACGACGACGGGGGAAAAAAUCACGUACGAGUACGAGCGCCGCGAGGGCCGAGGGGAGCAACGCGAAUCUUGUCAUUUUGCCCCCGGCCCCCGGCGCUCACAUCACAUGCCCUCGUCCGGAUUCCGGUGCCGCGCGACAGCUAUCAAGGCUGCCGCGCCUGCGCCCCCCGUACGGCGGUCGCCUUGGCCUGGCCCCGUGCCCCCGUGGCCCCAUCCCCCAACCCCAUUCCCGCGACAUUUUCAAACCCCAGGCCCCGCCGCGCCGAGGGAGCUCGCAUCAUGCACGCAUCGCGGCGUGCGUGCGUGCCGCGUCUUGUCCUUGUCGCGUCGCUCGCCACGCGCAUGCUGUUGUUUGAAACUGAUGAAACCACCGGCUGCUUCUCAUGGGUGUGCAGGGCUGCGACGCGUCGAUCCUGCUGGACAACGCGCAGAGCGAGAAGACGGCGGCGCCGAACCUAUCCGUGGGCGGGUACGAGGUGAUCGACGCCAUCAAGGCGCAGCUCGAGAAGGCGUGCCCGGGCGUGGUCUCGUGCGCCGACAUCCUCGCGCUGGCGGCGCGCGACGCCGUCUCGUACCAGUUCAGGUCCUCGCUGUGGCAGGUGGAGACGGGCCGGCGGGACGGCACCGUGUCGCUGGCGUCCAACACGGGCACGCUGCCGUCGCCGUUCGCCGGGUUCGCGGGCCUGCUGUCGAGCUUCGCCAACCGCGGGCUCAACCUGACGGACCUCGUCGCGCUGUCGGGCGCGCACACCAUCGGCGUGGCCAGCUGCUCCAGCGUCACCCCGCGCCUGUACCAGGGGAACGCCACCGCCGUCGACCCGCUCCUCGACUCCGCCUACGCCAAGACGCUCAUGUCGUCGUGCCCCAACCCGUCCCCCGCCGCCGCCACCGUCGGCCUCGACGGCGGAUCGCCGUUCAAGUUCGACAGCGGGUACUACGCCAGGGUGCAGCAGAACCAGGGGACGCUGGCCUCCGACGCCGCGCUGGCGCAGAACGCCGCGGCGGCGCAGAUGGUGGCCGACCUCACCAACCCCAUCAAGUUCUACGCCGCCUUCUCCAUGUCCAUGAAGAAGAUGGGACGCGUCGAGGUGCUCACCGGCACCAAUGGACAGAUCAGGAAGCAGUGCCGCCAGGUCAACACCUCCUGACGACCUGAUCCUGAUCCUGAUCCUGAUCGGGCUACGCUCGCGCUCACUCAUCAGGCCAUGAAUGAUUCGUCUUCAUUUUUCAAAUGCCUUGCCUACCUGCCUGAUAUUAGGGUUGGCGCGCAUCAAUAUAUUGAGGCCUGUCCUCGCAAAAUCUAUUGGUUUGUUAUUACUCAUGUGUUCGGCGAUUGUCUUGUCUUACAACCAAAAAAGAAAAAUGUAAGAUGGCUCGCUGCUCGUCUUGGCAUUGCCGCUCAAAGCAAAGCAAAAGAAUGCGGCUAGUCAGGCUCCUUUAUUUACAGUGAAAGGCAGGCAGUGGUUAUUUACUAGUGAUUGAUUCGUCAACAGAGUGUAGUACUCCACACUGCUGUAGGCAGUAGGCUACACAGCGAACUUUAUGCGACUUUACAGUAAUCAAGAAUUAAUUAUCCGCUACCAGUGAUCCACUAGCGAUUGGUGUUGGAGAUUUACGCCUUGCAUUGGUGCGCCACUAGCACUGAUCCCACCACUAAUCGCCCCCAUCCUAAUCAAUCCCACCACGAGCUGCCGCCCCACUUCGGCACGACAAAUGAGGCCUUGUUGAGUUGCCGAAAGAAAAAGUUUCACGAUAGUGUAACAUUUUUGUUGGUUUUGUAGUAAUUAUUGUUUAACUAUAAAUUAACUAGCCUUAAAAGAUUCGUCUCGUUAAUUCCGAUCAAACUGUAUAAUUAGUUUUUAUUUUUAUUUAUAUUUAAUACUCUAUGUAUGUGUCUAAAAAUUUAAUGUGAUGGGGAAUUUUGAAAAAUUUUGUGUUUCUAGUGGAGUAAACAAGGCCUGAAUGACCUCGCGAGUUGCAAAAUACUCCGAGUGGUCCGUGGAUUCUUGGCCCGCGCGCAAGGCUUUGCAUUUUGAAUGCUACAUUCAGGUCAGGAAGACCACUACGGUCUACGGUGUGUGUGGAUCAGUGGACUGAGCUUUAUUACACGAGAGAAAAAUAAAAUACUAAUAUUAAAUAGUUUUUAAGAUUCUCCAUCACAUCGAAUCUUGUAGCACUUGCAUGAAACAUUAAAUAUAGACGAAAACAAAAACUAAUUAUACAUUUUAGCUGUAAAUCACGAGACGAAUCUUUUGAUCCUAGUUAGUCCAUGAUUAGAUAAUAUUUAUCACAAACAAACGAAAGUGCUACAUUACCGAAAACUUUUCACUUUCCGGAACUAAGGCCAAAGUCAUCACAAACGAGCGAUCCACUGAAACUGUGACGCAGAAUCGGUCUCACCAUCAUGUUCAAGUUCAACCCAAACAUGACCGCCACAAACUUUCUGCACAUGGAAGUUUUGGAGCGGUGUGUGACUGUGUGUGCGCCUUCUGAGACUCGAACCAUGCGUCCAAAAAGGAAAAGGUCUCGCAUCAGCAUGAGACAAUGCCAGUAGUAGGACUUGUUUAGUUCCAAAUUUUUUUGAAAAAUAAGAAUAGUACCACUUUCGUUUGUAUUUAAUAAAUAUUAUCCAAUUAUGUACUAACUAGACUCAAAAGAUUCGUCUCGUCAAUUUUGACCAAACUGUGCAAUUAGUUUUUAUUUUCGUCUAUAUUUAAUACUUCAUGCAUGCGUCUAAAGAUUUGAUAUAACGGAGAAUCUGAAAAAAUUUUGCAAAAUUUUUUUGGGAAGUAAACAAGGACUAAGUAUAUGGUAGGUAGAACUACGACGACAUUCCCCCGUUUUUCUACUGCCCGCUCGACCCAGAUGCGAUACGGUCGAUAUUCCCUCUCGACAAAAGCGAGAAAAAGAGUUCGUGGCAGCACCCCCAAAAACUUUGCUUGUCCUUUUGCACCGAGAUUCACGCAGCCGAACGACAGCGGCACAUUUUCUCGUGCUACGCGGACUCGCCCGCCGAUGAUGCCGCGCCGACAGCUCGAGAUGGCCUUGUUGUCCCACGAUCCCACGGCCUUUUUAUUUUUUUGUAUAGGUAGUACAGUACAGUACAUGGCUCGCCGCCUCAAGCAGUCGCCGCCGCUCGCCGGGGCCGGGGCGGUGGUAGGCCCGGCGUUCUCCGGCCUCCGCGUCGAGCCGACGACUAGACGUCGCGUCGGCCUGCCAAGGCCACGUCGCUGCCGGAUGCCGACGGGCAGGUUCACAGUUCGCCUCGCCCGUGACCCUGGCGAACAUGAGCGGAGCAGUGAGCAGCAGGACGGUGGGCGGCCGCCGCUGGCGAGUGGCCAGCGUGCGCACCCCCAUGUUCCGGUGUUGGAUCUCCCGGUCAGGUCACUAGCGCGCGGCGUGCCGGGGGGAUGAUUCUUUUUCCUGGCCGUUCAUGCCAUUAUUAAAUAAAAAUAAUAGAAAAAAUUGGUUUGGCGGCAAUUCUUUUUCCGAAAUUGGAGGACUACUGGUUGGUUCCGCCGUAAGGUAGUGUGACUUGAAAUUUGAGCAUUAGCAAAGUCACGAGUGUCAUGGCGUUGCACUAGUCAUGCCACCAUUAGCAACGAGGCACGAGUGUCGUGCUAUUGGGAUCAGCCAUCGAUCGUGAGUACUCGUGCUCUCACACUACCUAAAAUUUCCUAUAAAGAAUGCCAUCAAGUUUUAUCCUAAGUCCACAACAACUAAAUUUGACUAGUUUAUACAACAUAUAUUUGUAAAACCGAUACUUGUGAUCCUAAAUAAAUACCAUUUGAUUAAUUAUACACAACAUUUUCAAAAUAAAUCUAUUUGAUGUUACAAAUGUUAAUAAUUUUCUUUAUAAACUUAGCCAAACUUGAAAUAUUUUGACUUAGAAUUAUUUUAGAACCAUAAGAGUAAGGCCUUGUUUGGUUGCUCCUGUUUUUUUUAACAUCUAUCACAUCAAAUGUUUGGACACAUGCAUAAAGUAUUAAAUAUAAACUAUUUACGAAAUUAAAAACAUAGCUAGACAAUAAUUUACGAGACGAAUCUUUUAAACCUAAUUGGUUUAUGAUUAGAUAUUAAUUAUCAAAUAAAAAAUAGAUACAAUAUUUGUUAAACUUUAAUAUCUCGAACCAAACACUCCCUAAAAAGCUCAAAGGAAAAUCACCUCUGCAUAUGCAUACACGAUCUCAAUGUUGUCUGCUGCAAAGCACACACAUAGACCUAAAGAAUUAUUUAGCUGAGCAAAGCUAGCAGUGAGAUUCGAACUUUGUCAGUUAGACAACAUGAUGGAAGUUUUCAUCGUAACAUGUUUGAAUUGCGUUGUAAGUAUAUGACGACCUUUACACGGAGGAGGGCCUACAAAAAACCUACUGUACGUUUCCUUCUCUGGCUCUGUCGUCCGCGUCGUGAAAGCUAGGCUAGAUGUAACACCCAAAAAUUUUAUUUAUUUCAAAUAGAUGAAUUAAAUUUAAAUGAAUUUAUUUUGUGAGCAUUUUCAAUAUAGGAAAAUAAAUAAAUUUGGAGAAAUUAAAAUUUAAUAUAAAUUUAGAGAAAUAUUUAUGUUGCAUACAUGCCGGUGCAUUUCUUUUAUGUGAUGAUUGUUUUAAAAACCAAAAUAUUUUGCGCAAGAAAAUAUUUGAAGCAAAGGAAUUCAUUUGGAAAAAUGUGUAUAAAAAAAAUGAGAAAUCCUUUCCCUCCCUUCCCCUUCCUCUUUUCGGCCUGGAGGCCCAGCAACCCUCCCCACGCCCCUUCUCGGGCCUGGCCCAGCCGGCCUCCUACCUUCCCCUCUCUC
rnacentral:lncRNA from 1 species